UGUAUAAUCUACAACAGGAAAUAUGACUAGCAUGUGUAUAGAAAUAAACAGAAGUAGAUUCUGGCCUCUACUCGUUCCAAAUUUAUCAGAUGCUCUGAAAGGGACAGCCGGACAGAUCAUCUUUUCUCACUCAGAUCGCCAAAACCAACCAUAUCUUAGAAGCAAAACUAUAUGAGUUCGUAUAGUUUCAAUAUCAAGAACAAUUUCAUAACUCUACAAA
rnacentral:misc_RNA from 1 species